rnacentral:rRNA from 1 species
AUUGAACGCUGGCGGCGUGCUUAACACAUGCAAGUCGAACGAAGUGGCGAACGGGUGAGUAACGCGUAAUCAACCUGCCCUUCAGAGGGGGACAACAGUUGGAAACGACUGCUAAUACCGCAUACUGAAGGAGGGGAUUGGGUCGGGUUAGCUAGUUGGGGGGGUAACGGCCCACCAAGGCGAAGAGCAGUAGCCGGGCUGGAGAGGAGAACCGGCACAACGGGAACGGGGAACGGCCAAGACUCUAACGGAAGGCAGCAGUGGGGAAUUUCGGACAUGGACGGAAGUCUGGCGCAGCAACUCCGGGGGGUGGGUGACGGGCUUCCGGUUGGUAAGGUAUGUUUGGCGGGACACGGUACCGGAAUAGAAAGCAACGGCUAACUACGUGCCAGCAGCCGCGGUAAUUC